CUGGGGGAAAUUUCACUAGAUGAAAUGUUAUGGAGAAUUGACAGAGUCACAACUAUGAAUUGGUCUGUUGUUGCAAUAUCUUGUGUUGUGCUUUGUGUGAGUUGCUAAUAUGUUUUCUUUUUGAAGGUCUUUUUUCUAUCUGGUUUAUUAGUUGCAUAGUCAUGAUGGAUCUUGAUCUCAACAAGUUCAGAAGUGGUAGGAUUUUUGAGGAUCUAGAGGACUUGGUGGUUCAGUUGAUCUUCUAGACCAUUAUAAACUUAGGAAACAUCUUGAUUUUUUAUGUAAGUGAUCAUUACCACCCUUUAUAUCUGAGACAGAAUACCUUAGGAGUGUGGUGGGGGACAGAGAAAUAAGGAGAGGUGAAGGGAUGGAACUAGAUCAGCUGUCCAAAAGCUCCUCCUAUGAGGGACACAGAUGUGUACACUUGCAUUCCUUUUGGCUUGGAUCUACUCACGGAUGCUUUUCGGCUCAGAGAAACAUGAUCUGUUGAUCUUCCAUCGGCAGGUAUUGGGUUACCUUCAGGUGCAUCAAGGCAUAAAAAGAACAAACACAAAGAUAGGUCAAGGAAACAGGAUCGUAACAGUUGAAUUGAUAAGGAUCGCAUGCCAAUCAGGGAUAACAAUAAGGAGAAAAAUGGGAGUAAGAAGCAGAAUCAUCGUCCAGAUUUGUUUCUGAGACAGCAAGUAUAGUUAGUGGUACAUAGGGUUGAGAUAUUUGUUGC